rnacentral:rRNA from 1 species
CACGCCGUAAACGAUGAGUACUAGGUGUAGGGGGUAUCGACCCCCCCUGUGCCGCAGUAAACACAAUAAGUACUCCGCCUGGGAAGUACGAUCGCAAGAUUAAAACUCAAAGGAAUUGACGGGGGCCUGCACAAGCGGUGGAGCAUGUGGUUUAAUUCGAAGCAACGCGCAGAACCUUACCAACGUUUGACAUCCUUAUCGCGAUUAGCAGAGAUGCUUUUCUUCAGUUCGGCUGGAUAAGUGACAGGUGC